rnacentral:lncRNA from 1 species
GUUCUCUCCAUAGUUUGGCUAUUGUGGAUGUUGCUGCUAUAAACAUUCGGGUCACUACGUUUGUAUCUUUAGGGUAAAUACCCAGUAGUGGGAUUGCUGGGCCGUAGGGCAGCUCUAUUUUCAACUUUCUGAGGAAGCUCCAUGCUGUUUUCCAGAGUGGCCGCACCAGCUUGUGUUCCCACCUGCAGUGUAGGAGGCUCCCCUUUCUCCACAACCUAUGUUGCUGUGUCAGAUGUUCUCAGAACACACAGAUCCGACUAUAACAUGACACUGUAGGAAAUGGAGUCUGUAGUCCUUCAGGAUGAUACGUUGGCCUACGCAGAAAGAGAUGCUCUCACCAAUGCUUGUGGUUUCUACCUUUCCUGUGAGAAACACGGCGAGGGAGGAACACGAAUAGGGGAGCAGCAGAGGGAGAGGGAGACGCAGGCUUCCUGCCCAGCGGAGCCGGAUGUGGAGCUCCGUCCCUUCAGGACCUGAGCCGAAGGCGGACGCUUCACGGCCAAGCCACCCAGGGAGUAUUUAAACAAGAUGUCAAGGUGUUCUGGUCUCUGAAAAAAACCUGAAUUUCUUUUUGGGUUAAAAGAUUGGGCAAAUCGGGGCACCUGGGUGGCUCAGUCAGUUGAGCGUCUGACUCCUGCUUUCGGCUCGGGUCAUGAUCUCAGGGUCAAGAGACUGAGCCCCGUGUUGGGUUCUGCGCUCAGCGUGGGGUCGGCUGGAGAUUCUCCCUCUGCCCCGCCCCCUGCCUGUGUGCUCUCUCCCUCUCUCUAAAUACAUAAAUAAAAUCUUUAAAAAAAAACGAAUGGAC